GUCCACGCCGUAAACGAUGGAUACUAGCUGUUGGGCGCAAGUUCAGUGGCUAAGCGAAAGUGAUAAGUAUCCCACCUGGGGAGUACGUUCGCAAGAAUGAAACUCAAAGGAAUUGACGGGGGCCCCGCACAAGCGGUGGAGCAUGUGGUUUAAUUCGAUGAUACGCGAUGAACCUUACCAAGGCUUAAAUGUAGAUUGACCGUUUUGGAAACAGAACUUUCGCAAGACAAUUUACAAGGUGCUGCAUGGUUGUCGU
rnacentral:rRNA from 1 species